CGGAGGGUGCAAGCGUUAUCCGGAUUCACUGGGUUUAAAGGGUGCGUAGGUGGUUUUGUAAGUCAGUGGUGAAAGCCCGGAGCUCAACUCCGGAACUGCCAUUGAUACUGCUUAACUUGAAUCAAGUAGAGGUGGAUGGAAUAAUACAUGUAGCGGUGAAAUGCUUAGAUAUGUAUUAGAACACCGAUUGCGAAGGCAGUUCACUAUGCUUGUAUUGACACUGAGGCACGAAAGCGUGGGGAUCAAACAGGAUUAGAUACCCUGGUAGUCCACGCCCUAAACUAUGUAUACUCGACAUAUGCGAUACACUGUAUGUGUCCAAGCGAAAGCGUUAAGUAUACCACCUGGGAAGUACGACCGCAAGGCUA
rnacentral:rRNA from 1 species